rnacentral:lncRNA from 1 species
CGUCCGGGCUCCUGUGGGAGCCAGACUUCGUCCCCGACUUCAACUGAAAGAAGACUCCGUCCGGGCUCCUGCGAGAGCCAGACUCCAAGCUCCUCUCAGACGGAUAGAUAGCCACCUCUCUCCAGCUACAGACUCCAACCGAACUUCAACCGAUAAGUCUGGACUCCCUAGCAGGCCGUAGUAACGGCCAUGAUUCUGCUCCACUCCCUUCGGCGAAUCCUACGCGGCUCCAUUACUCCCUGCGGCGGAUCCUACGCGGCUCCAUUACUCCCUACGGUGGAUCCUACGCGGCUCCAUUACUCCCUGGCAGGCCGCAGUAACGGCCACAGCACUGCUCCACUUCCUGCGACGGAUACCGCGCGAUUCUUCCAUCCCCUGGCAAAUCGCGAUAACGGAUGCCGCUCUACUCCCUGCGGCAGACUCCACGUCGCACGCUUCGGUGAUAGCCACGGGUCUACUCCACUACUCUUCGCAACAAACUCCGCCUGACCCUGGGCAGCCCACUACCAGACGGUUACAGAUGUCGCUAUUAGCUUGCUGCCCCCUCCGCC